CUCAACCACUGCGCCACCAGGGAAGCCCAGUCCUCAAAUUUUGCGGUUAAAAAACGGAGUAUUGUUGAAUGACUGUCCUUGAAGGUGACUGAACAGCAUCAAAGAGAUGGGAGAGAGAGACAUGCUGGCAAAAAGAGUGAGGACGGAGCAAAGCCCCAAUGCUUAAGAUGAAGAAAAAGAUGUUAAUAGAGACGUGGUAAGGGGAAGCUUGAACUAUGAUACUCCUCUGAUCCAGAACGCCAUUGAGAAACCUGGGUUGGUACAGUGGAGGAUAAAAUCAGCCUCAAGGCCGCAUAGCCUGAACAAGAUUUCAAGCAUGUGGAACUUCCCCCACCAGGGAUCGAACCCGUGCCCCGUGAAGUGGAAGUGUGGAGUCUUAACCACUGGACCAUCGAUGAAGUCCCAGAAAAAGUCUUAUAUUUACCCAGUACUUUAAAGCUACUGUUCCAUUGUUGGCUUAGUCUGCUCCAGCUGCUAUAACAAAAAUACCAUACACUGUGUGGCUUAAAUACAAACACUUAUUUCUCACAGUUCUGGAGGCUGGGAUGUCCAAGAUAAAGGUACCAGCUGAUUCAUUGUCUGAUUCUUUUCCCAUAUAGGUCAUCACAGAGUAUUGAGAAGAGUUCCCUGUGCUAUACAGGGGCACAGGUUUGAUCCAGCGGGUCGGGGAACUAAGAUCCCCCAUUCCUCGUGGUGCAGCCAAAACAAAAAAAUGGAGGAGGACAUCAAGGUGGUCAACGACAGACUGAGUGUUCGGUAUCACUAAUCGUAAUGUGAAGGCAAACUGAGAUACCACCAUGCACACCAAAUGGCUAAAACGUGACACGUUGGGUCCCACCGUUGGUCAAGGCAACACCUCAACUCUGUUCUAGCUCUCCGCUCAAUCCUGCAGGUUCCAACCGGCCUCCCUUUCUUGGUGAAAUACCAGAGUCUUAUCUUCCUUUUUCAAAUGGAAAUCGUGCUGUGAAAUCUGCAAACUAUAACUUCUAUCAGGUUAAAUAUAUGUAAAUAGCGCCUCAAAGAACAGAGGUAUGCUCUGUGGGAUUCCAGGCUGCCCCUCAGAAGCACACUGCUGAUGUGUCUUAAGGCUGGAGACUGUGGGCACCGGAACAAACUUCUGCUUUAAACCCCGGAGGAAGACAGGAAAAGGAGAGCUUGCCUCUUACGCUAAACAGCCCUCAGGACGGAGACCCCAGAGUCGCCUCUCCCUCUCCCCGUGACUGGCGAAGUGUCAAGUGCCGUACAGCCUAGGGAGUCUGAGGAUAGCGUGGACGUCAUGAGAGCAGGUGAGGAAGAGGGCAAGGAGAAGGUGGAGAGCAGGUAUAUAUGCCGAUCCUUCCACCCACAGCAACAUUAUAGCAACUGGCCGGGAGAUCAGAAGCCUGUGGGGCAACACACCGCCUGGUGCAGCGAUGCUCGGGCCAGGGAAUGAAGUUCAGACCACCGCCAGUGUUACAUCAGCUCAAAAUAUGGAAACACAAACCCAGUAAUAAAAACCAGAGAGAAGUGAGCUUUUCCUCUGUUGUUCACUCUAUGGACCCACAAGCCCAUUUUCCAGGUCUUGGCCUAGCUCUGCAGACUGCCCGAACUGCUUCGAUCCUACAACCCCAGUGCACGUUUGCCUUCCACCUCAAAUUCUCGCCGAAAAUUCUCUUAUCUACCCACAACGAUCUCUCUUAAUUUCUGAAAAUGAAAGCCUGAUUGUCAGGUGUGAGAACAAUCUACAGAGACCUGCUAAAAUGUCCUAGGAAACACCCAGAAACAGAACAGAUGAGAAAAACAAGGCUGAGAAAGGUUAAGUAACUUGAUCAAGAUCACACAACCAGCAAGUGGCUGAGCCAGGAUUUAAACUGCAGUCUGACUCCAGACCCUGUGGUCCUGACUUCGAAGCCCUCAACUUUCACAAAAGAAGUAGUUUGGGUGAAAUUUUUUUUCAGAAAGAAGGCUUUUAUCAAGGUUGAUGAUUGCCGCCCCUACAAAGGACCUCCUGAGGCUCUGCUGUGCCAAUAUCUCACUCCAUAAAGCACGUCUUGCCUUCUAUACAGUGGAGUGUCCACUGAGUGCCAGGUCUGCUCAGCACUUCAUACAAUGGCAGCAUAAUGACAUAUACGGAUGCUCAGUGGAGGUGUCCAUGAAGAAACCAGAAGUCACCUUGCUGAUGAGAGGUGAAGGAGGCCUCAAACUUGGGGUUCAUAAAAAAUUCCAGUUGGAACAGAUGUUCUCUUAGCUCACACAAGAAGCUGUCUGUACUGAACAUCUUAUCUCACCACACCAACAGCCAAGUAAUAAACCCAGAAUGACAAAAGGAGCUUCCAGAAUAUGGCAACAAUGCCUUGCAGCAGUUCUGCUACAAAUACCAACAUUACAUGGGUAAAGUAUAGAAACCAUCUCUUAACAUUCUUAUCUUGAAAGGAUGGCUAUCUUCUGUGAAUUAUUCAGUAGUUGGCCCAGAUCCCAUAGAAUUUUGAAGACCUUAGAAAACUAGAACUUUGGGAUUUCCCUGGUUAAGACUCCAGGGAAGUCCAAUAGUUAAGACUCCAAGCUUCCACUGCAGGGGGCACGGGUUCGAUCCCUGGUCAGGGAACUAAGAUCCCACAUGCCGUGCAGCGUGGCCAAAAAAAAAAAAAAGAA